GCCAUGGCACUCUAGCAUCGGCGACACAGACUCUAUCUCAAAAAAAAAAAAAGAGAAAAACAGAACUAUAGACAUAAGGAAGGGCUAUGCAAAGGGACAAAUUGUUGGAUUCUUGGGAUUUGUUCUUAUUUUAAAGUUAAAUCUUUGUACUCUUAUCCCUUCUUGUUUGUGGCAAACCAUAUUUAACUGAUCCCCUGACAUUUUCCCAGCUGGAUCAGAGACUGUAGACUUGUUACAGUGUCACUGUAUAAACCUUGAUUUAAGGGAGGCAGUACUAGAGUCACUGUAUGGAAGCAGUUUGCUUCUAAUAGUCAUGAGUACUAAUUUUAUUUUGGUUCCUUUUUUGUGAUUUUAUUAAAUUGGAAAAGUUUUCUCUACGAGGGAUCUUUUGUAUUUUGGACAUGAUCUCUGUUUGGUGGAGUCAAAAGUCGGUCACAUGUCUUGAAUUUAGUCUCACAAUAUUUGGUUUAGUUGGUAAAUCCCAUCAGCUUUGCAAAUAAUUUUGUGAAAACAUUGAUUCAGCUCAUCCUGCCAAAUGUCCCCAUCCCCGCCCACUUAUCUGAGUGCCUUUUCCUCUCACAUCAACCGUCCAUUAGGCCAAGGCAUCGUAAGUGCUUCUGUACUGCAGGUUCAUUUGCCAGUCUCCUGGAGGAAAGUGGCGAGAAUAUUCCAAACUGGAAAUAUAAGAGAGAGAGAGAGAAAGGUUCUUUCCAGUGAUUUAUAAGCCUAGUGCUUAAUAUCUUUAAAGCCCUAGUCAUAUACAUCAACUCUUUCUUAUAACUAGAGCUAGGAAAAGUUCUCUCUUUCUCUGCUGUCAGUAUCCCGGUCAUCCAAGUCCAUAUGCCUACUAGGGUACAGCUGAUUUAUUGCUUUUCCUCAGCAUUUUAGACUGAUUGACUGGGAUGCUUUAUUCAGAUCAGGGAUGCACCAUGGAAAUGUUUUUUGGGGGCACUCCAUUUGGCAUGUUCCCCUCCAGCUGUGAGGACAAAGACCCAUUUGUCUUCCGGGCCCUGGCAGAGGAGGCAGAAGUACCUGCUGGGCUUAGGCAGCAUGUGCCCUAACCAGUGCUCCACCUCUCCAAGUGGUGAAUCAGUCUGACGAUGUGAUGUGCUGAUUUUUUUUUAACACACUAGGGUGGAGACUUGGUAGCCUGUAGGCUGGUGGGGGAGGAGGGAUCGUUUGCAUGUCAAACCAUUCCAACAAUGCUGCUUACAGGAAAAAAUUGCAAAACACCAAAGCCCUGUGCCACCAGAUUUUUCCAUUAGCACCACACUUUACACGGCGUCCAAAUCUGCCGCAGGGACAGCUGUUUGGCAACGUUGAGGGGAAACGGCAGCAUCACAUCCUGGGCUCCAGCGUGGCUGCGUACCUAUCAGCCUGCCCGUCACACACACAGGCCGGAAGGGCGCUAGGACGUUAUAUGGGCACUAGGAAAACUGCAGCUGGAAUUCACAGCACCUCACUCAGGAUGCUGAUUUUAAAUGAAGAAACUUGAGGCAGGACAUCUUCCAGAAAGUUCUGGUGCCUGCAAAAAUCAUGAAGGGCCCGCCCAGCCCCCAAUGGCUUCCAGCAGUCAGAGACCAGCUGUGUCCAAAGAGUUGUGUGAGAAGUAGGGGCCUGUGCUCCACCCCAGCUGUGGUUCCUGGUCCCACCCCUCCCUGCUCCUCAGUUAGUGCUUCGCUCAGAGCACUGUGCUCUUCGCCUAGAUGUCUUUCCCGUGUCUGACAAUACAAGCUUUUCCUAUCCUUCAAGUCCUGCUACCUCUCUUACCUCUCCCAGCAAGUGUUCUCAGAUGCUCCCAACAGGAAUUCAUCUCUUCCUCUAUUCCUAGAAAUUGUGUUUCUAUUAAAGAGUUGCCAACACUUGCUUUUAAUUAAGAGUUAUGGUGGUGUGCCUCACUAAUCUGUAAACUUGAAGGUUUUAAUUGGCAAGAAUCAUGUCCUCUUCUUUGUAUGCCCAUCAUGCCUUGCUUAGUAGUCUUUGUAGAGUCAGCAGAUUCAGCGUUCAACCAAGAAAAGUUUGCAGAGCACCUGCUUUGUGCUGGCAUGGCACAGAGCAGAGAGCAGGCCAGGCGCCUGCUUGAGGAUUUGGGGGAUCGAGCCCUGCCAGUGGCCAGUCUGAUAUUGCUGUAUUGUUUUCCCGUUCCCCUAUAGUUGCCAGUUGAUUGAUCUGUUAAUCAUGUCUGAAGGUUCACCUGGGUAUUUUUCCAGAGUGAGCAGAUGGCUUUCACUACGUCACAUACACACUCCUGUGUUCUGCCUCCUCUCGUGGACGUUAUAGUACCUGCUUUCUGUCCAUCACUUGCUCUAAGGCAGCCUUAAAAAUGUAUUGGCUAUUAAAUGCCUUGGCUUCUAAAAAGAGGUAACCAGGUAUAACUUGGCUGUCCAAGGGGAGAUGGAGGGUUAUUAUCAGAGUCCCUUUAGAAUGUUCUGGCUGCCAUGGCCUUUCCUUGCUCCUUUUGAUGCUUGUCAGCAACUCUACCAGAGAGAGAGCAGGUGGAGCUCCAGUCUGCUAUUAUCUGGUCCAGAUUGGUGGGCUGGUUGACACUGUGGAUAGGAACCCGGGUUAGUGACCUCCAGGUGCCUGGCCAGCAGGCUGCCUGCCGCCUUUCCUGCUGUUUUCUCUAGAAGGUCUCUGAAGACCUAUCACCUCCUUCAGAUGUGGGGAAAUAAACAGUCCUUAUUAUUCUUUAUUUACAGCCUUUGUAGAGUCUUUGUGCUAAUCUAAUUUACGUUCUCAAUUCCCUUAUUUACUUUUGUGGCCUCCCAGUUCUUUGUCAUUUGUGCUCUUUUAAAUGUUGAUUUCAAAUCUUGGAUGAAAAUAUAUUGCCAGACGGUCUCCUCUUUAAACGUGAUAAAGGUCGUAACCGUGGGGCAAGCCAAACUGCAGAGAAAGCCCAACGUGCAGAAACUCAGCAUGACUCCAAUUUUAGGCAUUUACAUGUGUUUGGCAAAGUGCAUUUUGUUGAGUAAAGAAUAAUGAAGGCCAGAGGGUUUUUCUUGUCUUUUAAGACUGGACCAUUCCAUAGAGUCCUCUUCCUAAAUGCUCCUGACAAGAGUCACUCACCUCCCUGUAGCACACCCUCCUUCUAUGGAAUUUGGGGUGGCUUCUCCUUUGAAAAUCUCCCCUUUUGUUAAGUCCUCUCCCAACACCCAGCAUGGUACACACCCAACAGGAGGAGGUAGAGCAGAGCAGGAGCCUUUACCCAACUUGUCCUUUUUAAUCCCAUUAAGUCCUGUCACCACCCCCGUGCCUAAGCCUCAGAGGGAAGGGGUGCAUAAAAGCAGCAUGAAUAAGAUAUCUGAACUCUUUAGGGCUUGGGGGGAGUGUCCAGUGUAGCAGAAACAACCCAGGCCCUCACAGAGGGAUAGCAGAGCAUCCUGCUUUUCCGUCUGUCUCUUUUAAGACAAAUACCCAUAGGUAGCGUUUUUCACAAGGUAAGUCUAAGUGAGAGAAAAAUGGAGGGAGGCACGCGAGGGUGGUGUUUUGAUCUUGUUAUUUUAUUUUUUUAAAUAAGGGCUACAGAAGAGAGUGUACCUAGUUUAUGGCUUUUCCGCACAAUGUAGUAUUAAGUUAGCAGCAGAAUAAGCAGUGGCAGUAGAAUAGCAGGUGCUUAUGGAUGACAUCAGCUGCAUCUGUGAAAUGCCAAAAUAAUCACACCUGCCUUGGUGCAGGGUUGUUGUGGAGAUUAAAUGAGUUGAUGUCUGCGUAAAGCCCUUGGAACAGUGCAGUCCAGAUGAAUUGUG